rnacentral:misc_RNA from 1 species
UUGCAAUGCUUUGACCCCAUAUAUUAGGUGACCAAUACCCAAUAAAGGCAAAUUUAUUUACAAAUAGGAGGAGAAAAGCUACAUAACAGAGAUUCUCCCUACAAGGUAUAGAAAACAAUUUCACAUAGCCAUUAACUAAUUAUCAAAUGUUCUGAAAAUUUGUUUCAGCACCAAUUGCAGAAGAAAAACAAAAUACUCUCCAAGACAUCAAUACAAGAGGUGAUCUUCAAAACUCUAAUCUGUAGAAGAGAAGUGGACCAUUGAACACGAUGCCAUAUCACCACUUUUCUAGAACCAAUGAAAUCUAGGCUUUAGCCAAAAUAAAGAUUUUGCAUUUAUGCUGAUAACGCAAACAAAAUUUGAUAACAAAAAGUUGCAUGCAUCAUAAAAGACAGCUAUUUUUCUGCAAUGUGGCUUACAAUAUGAAACGUCUUAUGCUAUAUGUCUCCUACAUUGAGAAAAUGGUGUCUAUUCUUAGAAUGGGGGAAAAAGAUGGGAGAUGUUCUCCACGGAAAGUUGCACUUCAAGACCAACCAGAUUGCAAUUGAUAUAAAGGAAUAUUGCAAGUUAACUUUGGAGUUAAUUUCUUUUUCUUUCCUCGAAGGGAAAGGAUUUGUAUAUUUCAGAUAUAAAUGCAAUUAACUUUCACAUGGUUCAGAUAUAAAUGCAAUUAACUUUCACAUGG